rnacentral:rRNA from 1 species
CUUGAUCAAAUAUAAGAGGUCCAGCCUGCCCAGUGACAUAGUUAAACGGCCGCGGUACCCUGACCGUGCGAAGGUAGCAUAAUCACUUGUUCCUUAAAUAGGGACUUGUAUGAACGGCAUCACGAGGGCUUUACUGUCUCCUUUCUCCAAUCAGUGAAACUGAUCUCCCCGUGAAGAAGCGGGGAUGAUAAUAUAAGACGAGAAGACCCCAUGGAGCUUUAAACCCAACGACACCCCCCAACUCCCCAACCCAUUUUAGUUGCUACAGUCCUGUUCGUUGGUUUUAGGUUGGGGUGACCGCGGAGUAUAGAUCAACCUCCACGACGAAUGGGACUACCCCCUUACCCAAGAGCUACUCCUCUAAGGAUCAAUAAAUUGACGUAAAAUGAUCCAAGCAUUUGAUCAACGGACCA